rnacentral:rRNA from 1 species
CUGUCCUAGACCGACUCAACAUAUCAAGUGUCAAUCAGCAUGGCCGUGUUUGACUGCCUAUUCGGUGAAUUUCUUUUGUGGUUGUGGGACAAUGGCAAAUACACUGGCCAGUAGCUAUGCCCAAUCUCUCAAUUUCUUUUGUGGUUUCGGUACGUUUUCGAAGGUAAAACAUAGAAGUUCAAGAUAGCAAGCAGCAGUGACUCGUGUCCUUGCGCAAUGGAGGGCAGGCAAUGACAUACUAGUCGAUUCUAGUAUUCUGCGAGUCUCACCGCCCAUAUCCCGAGACUUCUCCAAAACUAAUCGAAGCGACGGAGCAGAGGCGGUGCGCGGCUGCCUGUCCGUGGAGGCGUGGCACUGUCCCACGCGCCUCCCGUCACAGCGCCGGCGUCCACAGGCGGCUCGGCUGCAGCUCAUGCUCCAAGUCGCGCGCCGCUCUUCACCCCCCUCGUGCAUGUACUGCUGCCCGAGCGCAACGUCCCGACGCUCCUUGUCUAUCUCUUUGCCUCGCCGCACUCGAACUCCUGACAAUCUCUGCCUCUACAGGAGAACUCGCAGGAGAGAUGAGGCCCAGCAAACGCGCCUGGCCGGAGCAGGAAGGCCGCCCGAGUUGCUACCUCGAUCUGGUGCGUGAAAUACAGGACCAGGGAUCGAUUCCGAGGUGGCUAUCGUCGCGGUGGGAGAGGGAGACGACCACCACCGCCUCGACACUAUCCACCGCCACCACCGCCUGCUGCGGAUAUGGCCUCAGAGGAGGAGCUCAAGCACACAGCAGAUGGGGUGGGAGACCCAUCCACGUUACCCGCGGCGGCAGUGGACGCGGUUCGGGCUUUGGCAGCAGUACAUGUUCCGGUGACUUCUGGAGGUACUAAGUCUAGGGAUGGCACGUCUGAUAAAGGGCCGGAGAAAGCGGAGGGCGAAAAACUCUCUAAGUGGGCAAUUAAGAAGAAAAAGUUGCCUUGCUAUAGAUGUGGUGAACCGGGUCAUUUUAUGGCAGACUGUAGAAUGAGCUUUGUGAUUAUUGCUGCCGAUCUCAGCAUGCGACUGGGGACUGCCCACUUCUUUCGGGUCCUAAACCUGGCAUUAACAUUUUUGGUGUCUACUGUAAGGAGUUGAUGUUCUUUGAGACACCGGAGGUGGACCCUCUACCGCAGAUGGUUGAGAGUUCCUUCCCAGCAGUAGUCAGAGUCACUAAUGGACAGUUGUCAGAGGCUCAGAUCGUGAGACAUCUACGUGACUUAGUGCCAGGGAACCAUCAGUGGCAUCUGGAACAUUUAGAGGAUCAGUCCUAUAAGGUGGAUUUUCCCACCAAAGAGGAUCAAUUGCAUUUUCUUAAGUGGGGUUUGUGCAGAGUCCCGAGCACCAACAUUGUUAUUGCUUUUGAUGAGUGGAAGGAGGAGGAACCUGAUGGUAUACCUUUGGAGAAGGUGUGGGUACGUUUCUUUGGCGCGCCACCAAAAUUGAUGAAACAUUUUCUGAUUGCUUGGAGUUUGGGUGCUAUGAUUGGUAAAACAGAAAAGGUUGACAUGCCUUUCACUCGUGCACACAGGGCUGCGAGGUUACUGGUCAGCGUUGUGAGUGUUGAGUUCAUACCAGAUGUGGUCAGAUGGACACAUGCUGGAGUCACUUAUGUCUUAGAGCUUGAGAUCGAGGAUACUCCGAUUUCCCAGGAUGGGGAUGAGCCACAGGACAUGGACACGACUGAGGGAGGCGGCGUGCCUGGGAAUCAGGAUAAGGGAUCCGAGGAUCCACUGCCGGAGUCGGACAAGGGGCCUAAGGCACAACCAGAUAAGGUAGACAGUUCUACCAAAGAGGUGCCCCCGUCCACUACUCCGAUGAACACGCUUCGUUUUGGUUCGUUUGCACCAAGGUCGGCUCCUAGUCGGUUAUGGAGCACCAGGGUCGAGGCAGACGACCCGACGGAACUUGAGCUGCCACCGGUGCUGCGUCUGGCCGGUGAGGCGAUGAUUGUGGAUUCCUCUCCCGGUGGGGAGGUUGUGCCUGCUAGGUUGGCUGCGGGUGGGGGCGUGGGCAGGAGACCCAUAGCACCCAGCUACUUGCUUCCGACUUCACUUCGAGGGGAGGGGCACCUGGACAGGAGAUCUAUGGCGCUCUUCCCACACCGGCUUCACCGAUCGAGCUGGGGGUGAGGUGCGGGAAGGAGUCCCGCGCUGCAACCCCUACACAGGACUGCACCAUCCAGAGUGGCGAGCUAGGGGUGAGAUGUGGGAAGGAGUCCCGUGUCGUAACCCCUUCGCAGCAUUGCGCCUUGCAGGUUGGCCGGGGGAUGACUUGUUCUGGUGGGGAAAGGGGGAACGGGACUAGUGAGCAGGCGUCUCCAAGGUCCGCAUUCCCCUUGACCUCUGUGGCUGAGGCCCGCUCGACUACGCCUCACCCUCCUUCACCGACGAUAAGGGAGGGGCGUGGGAGUCCAGACUGUACACCCUGAGAGAGGACGACGGAGGAGCUUAUCGCUUUCGGCGGGAUUGCGGAUCCGGUGUCGGCUGGCAGGCGUGUCAGCAACCGGAUCCAGGGUCAGCCGGAUGCGAAUGACCUGCAGCUAGCGCGUGCCAAGAGGGCCACCAUGCUUCGUCAGGCCGAGGCUACUACAGGUUAUAUUCACAGUUACAGCUUGGAUCCUUACUCACUCCUAUGGACUCCAGGGAGCCUUUGGUUACUGGGUGCAACCAAUAGGAGAUGGUGGCUCGGGUUAUAUUCAACCGAUUCGGAUGGCGCUCGCAUAACAGGAUAGGAGUUUAGGGAGCUUAUCCUUCUUAUUACCGUAUCGGUUGUCUUUGUCCGCCUGUACUCUUUUGUUUUUUUUCUACUUUGUUUCACUCUGUUUGCAAGCUGUGAUGAUACCUUCUGGAUUUUUAAUAAGAUGGCCGUAUGCAUCUUCAUGAUGCAGAGGCCAGGGCAUGCCUCCAUUUAAAAAAAAAUUGGGUCUGG